rnacentral:lncRNA from 10 species
CACACACACACACACACACACACACACACACAAAUAGUGAGCCUAGGUCAGGCACAGUGGCUUACACCCAUAAUCCCAGCACUUUGGGAGCCUGAGGUGGGCGGAUUGCUUGAGCCCAGAAGUUCUAGACCAGCCUGGGCAACAUAGUGAGACCCCAUCUCUACAAAAAUAUGCAAAAAUUAGCUGGGUGUGGUGGCUCAUGUCUGUAGUCUCAGCUACUUGGGAUGCUGAAGUGGGAGGAUGGCUUGAGCUGGGGAGGUCAGGGCUGUAAGUGAGCUGUGAUCUCACCACUGCACUCCAGCCUGGAAGGCAGAGCAAGACCCUGUCUUUAAAAAAAAAAAAAAAAGAAAGAAAAAAAAAGUGAGCCUUUAAAGCUUUAAAAGGCACGGUUGCUCACACAUGUAAUUCCAACACUUCGGGACGCUGUGGCAGGAGGAUCACUUGAGCAUAGGAGUUUGAGGCUGCAACAGAUAUGAAUCAUGCCACUGCACUUCAACCUGGGAGUCCAAGUGGGACCCCAUCUCAAAAACAAAAAUAAGCAAAUAAAUAAAACUUUAAAAGACCUUGAAUUUAUAAGUUAGUAUCUUUCAUAACACAUGACCAUCUUCAUUAGUAAAAUCACCUAUGGAGAAAACUAUUGGGUAAAUAUUCCAUAAAAGUUAACAAGUUUUUAUUGAGUGUCUACUAUGAGCCACACUGCGUUAGGCCAAGAUAAAUAAGUAGUAAACAGUCCCUCUCUCAGAAACAUUUUAAUCUAGUUAAGGAGAUAAACCUACAGAAUGUCCAUUAUAUGACUUCCCAUUUCACUUGAGUCUCUCAUCAAUCGUCUGAUUUAGGUUGGUAAACCUUGUACUACUCUUUUUUUUUUUUUUUUUGUGAGUCUGGGUUACAAGUCUUGCUGUGUCACCCAGGCUGGAGUGCAGUGGUGUGAUCAUGGUUCACUGCAGCCUCAAAAUCCUGGGCUCAAGCGAUUUUCCCACCUCAGCCUCCCAUGUAGCUGGGACUACAGAAAUGCGCCAACAUGCCUAGCCUCAUUUUUCGAUUAGUUAUUAAAGCUCAAAGUUUAAGCAACUUGUUUAAGGCUACACAGCAUGUAUGUGGUGGAGUGGGCCCUCACACUCAGGUCUCCAAAAACAGAUAACAAAAGGUAAAUAUGUCUAGAAAGUUGUAGAGCAUUAGCCAAAUUAAUGUUAUCAUUUGUAUUCUUUAACUCCAAACCCGAUGGAUUCCAUUAUUAUUUCUUGCUUGAGAAUAAUAUAAGAUUGAGUCAAAUGUUAGACUGGAUAUUUC